rnacentral:rRNA from 1 species
ACGGAGGGUGCAAGCGUUGUCCGGAUUUAUUGGGUUUAAAGGGUGCGUAGGCGGCUCUUUAAGUCAGUGGUGAAAUCCUUCAGCUUAACUGGAGAACUGCCAUUGAUACUGAAGAGCUUGAGUAUAGUUGAGGUAGGCGGAAUUGAUAGUGUAGCGGUGAAAUGCUUAGAUAUUACGAAGAACACCGAUGGCGAAGGCAGCUUACUGAACUAUAACUGACGCUGAGGCACGAAAGCGUGGGGAGCAAACAG